ACCAAACAGCUAGCUCAUACUCAUAAAUUCAAAACAACACCAUAAAUAACCCCAAACGCACGAUUAGUAACAUAAUUAAACCAUUCUUCCUCCUUAGUACGGGCGACGGAAAAGGGACUAGAAGCUAUAGAUAAAGUACCGCAAGGGAACGCUGAAAGAGAAAUGAAACAACUCAGUAAAGUGUAACAAAGCAGAGACUAGUACUCGUACCUUUUGCAUCAUGAUUUAGCAAGUAUACUCAAGCAAAGAGAACUCUAGUUUGAUCCCCCGAAACUAAGUGAGCUACUCCAAGACAGCCUAUUAUAGGGCCAACCCGUCUCUGUGGCAAAAGAGUGGGAAGAGCUUCGAGUAGGGGUGAUAGACCUAUCGAACUUAGUUAUAGCUGGUUGCCUAAAAACUGGAUAGGAGUUCAGCCUUCUAGCUUCUCUACUCCAAUAAUUUUUAAAACACCUCAGACACUAAAGAAACUAGAAGAGUUACUCAAAGGGGGUACAGCCCCUUUGAGCAAAGACACAACUUUUAUAGCUGGGUAAAGAUCAUAAUAACAGAAGGGAAGUGUCCCAGUGGGCCUAAGAGCAGCCACCUAUACAGAAAGCGUUAAAGCUCAGACACACCCUCCACCCCUCUAAUUCCGAUAACGAAAUCUGACCCCACUUGUCCUAUUAGGCUGUUUCAUGCCAACAUGAAAGCACCAAUGCUAAUAUGAGUAAUAAGAGAGGCCUAUUCACCUCUCUCCUAGCACGCACGUACAUCAGAACGGACCUUCCACCGAAAAUUACCGGCCCCAAGCAAAGAGGGUAAUGAGCAAAAUUCAAACCACCAGAAAACUGCCCAGAAACAACCGUUAAGCCCACACCGGCGUGCUUACAAGGAAAGACCAAAAGAAAAAGAAGGAACUCGGCAAACACAUCAAGCCUCGCCUGUUUACCAAAAACAUCGCCUCUUGUUACACCAAAGAUAAGAGGUCCCGCCUGCCCGGUGAUAUAUUUAACGGCCGCGGUAUCUUAACCGCGCGAAGGUAGCGCAAUCACUUGUUUUUUAAAUGAAGACCCGUAUGAAUGGCACAACGAGGGCCAAACUGUCUCCUUUUUCCAGUCAAUGAAAUUGAUCUCCCCGUGCAGAAGCGGGGAUAACCCCAUAAGACGAGAAGACCCUGUGGAGCUUUAGACACCUAAACAGACUCUACAUAUACCCAAGAUAAAGGAACCAUAAAAGACCCUGCUUUAGUGUCUUAGGUUGGGGCGACCCCGGAGAAUACAAAACCUCCGCGCAGAAUGAGAGAACACCUCUCACAACCAAGAGUGACAGCUCUAAGCAAUAGAACCUCUAACUAAAAGAUCCGGCUCUGCCGAUCAACGAACCAAGUUACCCCAGGGAUAACAGCGCAAUCCCCUUUUAGAGUCCCUAUCAACAAGGGGGUUUACGACCUCGAUGUUGGAUCAGGACAUCCUAAUGGUGCAGCCGCUAUUAAGGGUUCGUUUGUUCAACGAUUAAAGUCCUACGUGAUCUGAGUUCAGACCGGAGUAAUCCAGGUCAGUUUCUAUCUAUGAAAUGUUUCUUCCUAGUACGAAAGGACCGGAAAAAAGAGGCCUAUGUCACAAACACGCCUCCCCCUUAUCUGAUGCAGACAACUAAAUCAGAUAAAAGGGCAUAUCCCUUCAGCCCAAGAUAAUGGCUU
rnacentral:rRNA from 1 species